rnacentral:rRNA from 1 species
AUACGUAGGGUGCAAGCGUUAUCCGGAAUUAUUGGGCGUAAAGGGCUCGUAGGCGGUUCGUCGCGUCCGGUGUGAAAGUCCAUCGCUUAACGGUGGAUCUGCGCCGGGUACGGGCGGGCUGGAGUGCGGUAGGGGAGACUGGAAUUCCCGGUGUAACGGUGGAAUGUGUAGAUAUCGGGAAGAACACCAACGGCGAAGGCAGGUCUCUGGGCCGUUACUGACGCUGAGGAGCGAAAGCGUGGGGAGCGAACAGGAUUAGAUACCCUGGUAGUCCACGCCGUAAACGGUGGAUGCUGGAUGUGGGGCCCGUUCCACGGGUUCCGUGUCGGAGCUAACGCGUUAAGCAUCCCGCCUGGGGAGUACGGCCGCAAGGCUAAAACUCAAAGAAAUUGACGGGGGCCCGCACAAGCGGCGGAGCAUGCGGAUUAAUUCGAUGCAACGCGAAGAACCUUACCUGGGCUUGACAUGUUCCCGACAGCCGUAGAGAUAUGGCCUCCCUUCGGGGCGGGUUCACAGGUGGUGCAUGGUCGUCGUCAGCUCGUGUCGUGAGAUGUUGGGUUAAGUCCCGCAACGAGCGCAACCCUCGCCCUGUGUUGCCAGCACGUCAUGGUGGGAACUCACGGGGGACCGCCGGGGUCAACUCGGAGGAAGGUGGGGAUGACGUCAGAUCAUCAUGCCCCUUACGUCCAGGGCUUCACGCAUGCUACAAUGGCCGGUACAACGGGAUGCGACACGGCGACGUGGAGCGGAUCCCUGAAAACCGGUCUCAGUUCGGAUUGGAGUCUGCAACCCGACUCCAUGAAGGCGGAGUCGCUAGUAAUCGCGGAUCAGCAACGCCGCGGUGAAUGCGUUCCCGGGCCUUGUACACACCGCCCGUCAAGUCAUGAAAGUGGGUAGCACCCGAAGCCGGUGGCCUAACCCUUUGUGGAUGGAGCCGUCUAAGGUGAGACUCGUGAUUGGGACU